AGAGGUAAAGUAAAAGAUAAUUGGUUAAAAAUGCUUAAAUGUAAAAUUUUAUUUAAAUGGAUUGUUUUGUGUUAAUAAAGGGUGAAAUCGAUUUUUUGUUGUAUAACUAAUUUUGUUAAAUAAAAGUUGUUGAGGUUGUUAAGGUUAAGGUAUGAACCAGGAUUAGAUACCCUGUUACACUUUACUUAGAAGUUUAUUGUACCUAGGUAAUAAACAGUUAUGAUCUUGAAACUUAAAGGAUUUGGCGGUAAUUUAGUCUAGUUAGAGGAACCUGUCCUAUAAUCGAUAAACCACGUAAUAUCUUACUUUAUCUUGAAAGUUUUCAGUUUAUAUACCAUCAUUAUUAGAUAACUUUAAUAAGAUAGAGAAGUUAUUGAAAUAAUUUUUAGUUAAUAUAUUAGAUCAAGGUGUAGCUAAUGAUAAAGUAGAGAUGGGUUACAAUAAUAUGAGUUUAUAACGAACUUAAGAAAGAACUUUUUUAAUGAAGGAGGAUUUAAAUGUAAAUGUGUUUUAAUAUGACAUAUUGAUUAUAGCUCUAGAUUAUGUACACAUCGCCCGUCGCUCUCGUUAUAUAAAGCGAGAUAAGUCGUAACAUAGUAGGUGUACUGGAAAGUGUACCUAG
rnacentral:rRNA from 1 species